GCAGUGAUCGUCUAGAGGCUUAGGACACGAAAAGCGAUUCUUGAUUAAGAAUCUUACGGCAUCCACAACUUUCAUUCAACGAACGUAACGCAGGUUCGAAUCCUGCUCACUGCA
rnacentral:tRNA from 2 species